GUCGCGAUCCGAAUAAAAGGAAGUUCGCUGGGAUUGUAUUCAUUCAUUUUCCAGAGGUGCUGGUUCGACUCCAGUUCGCGACU
rnacentral:tRNA from 1 species